UACGUAGGGCGCAAGCGUUGUCCGGAAUUAUUGGGCGUAAAGAGCUCGUAGGCGGUUUGUCACGUCGGGUGUGAAAGCUUGGGGCUUAACUCCAGGUCUGCAUUCGAUACGGGCUGGCUAGAGGUAGGUAGGGGAGAACGGAAUUCCUGGUGUAGCGGUGAAAUGCGCAGAUAUCAGGAGGAACACCGGUGGCGAAGGCGGUUCUCUGGGCCUUACCUGACGCUGAGGAGCGAAGGCGUGGGGAGCGAACAGG
rnacentral:rRNA from 1 species